rnacentral:tRNA from 1 species
UGAGGUACAGCUCUGUGGUAAAGCACAUGCUUAGCAUGCAUGAGAUCUUGGGUUUAAUCCUCAGUACUUCCA